AUGGAUGAGUCUACUUUGGGGAGUCUUAGGUGUAGAGUGCCUAUUCUUGAUGGAGAAUAUUUUCAUGAGUGGAAAAAUGAAAUGCUUGAGAUUUUCAAUGAAUAUCACUUGAACAAGUAUAUUGCUAUCCCUUGUGCACCUCAUGUUGAUCCCAUGCAUCCUACCCUUGAUGAAUCAAUUGACAUGAUUCACAAUCUUAGAACUGUUAAUCUUAUCACUAGAGGCUUGCCUAGAAACUUGAUUGGAUGUUUGCCGACUCUUAAGUGUGCCUACACCAUAUGGAAAUUUCUUGAGGAACUCUUUCCUAAUUAUUCCUUGAAAGAUCUAGAUGAAAUCCUCCAUAAGUCUAUUGCCUAG
rnacentral:rRNA from 1 species